rnacentral:rRNA from 1 species
AUUGAACGCUGGCGGCAUGCCUUACACAUGCAAGUCGAACGGUAACGGGCCUUCGGGUGCCGACGAGUGGCGAGCGGGUGAGUAAUACAUCGGAACGUGCCCGAUCGUGGGGGAUAACGAGGCGAAAGCUUUGCUAAUACCGCAUACGAUCUACGGAUGAAAGCAGGGGACCGCAAGGCCUUGCGCGGACGGAGCGGCCGAUGGCCGAUUAGGUAGUUGGUGGGAUAAAAGCUUACCAAGCCGACGAUCUGUAGCUGGUCUGAGAGGAUGAUCAGCCACACUGGGACUGAGACACGGCCCAGACUCCUACGGGAGGCAGCAGUGGGGAAUGUUGGACAAUGGGCGCAAGCCUGAUCCAGCCAUGCCGCGUGCAGGAUGAAGGCCUUCGGGUUGUAAACUGCUUUUGUACGGAACGAAAAGCCUUCUUUUAAUACAGGAGGGUCAUGACGGUACCGUAAGAAUAAGCACCGGCUAACUACGUG